rnacentral:misc_RNA from 1 species
UUAAGGUGUUUAUGUUUUCAACAGCCUCAUUCUUGGUGGAAGUGGUUAUCUCUAACAAAGUGGUAGUAUAAUACUAGCCAUCACACUGCUUUUAAGACGUCUCCAUUUGAAGCCUUGUAUGGGUACCAGAUUUUGUGAAGGAAAGGCAGCAAAUGUCACAAUUGAUUAAGGAGAAUUUGCUAGUGGUUCUGAACAAGAUGAAACAAAAUGCAAAUAAGAAAAGAUCAGAAAGGGCAUUUCAAGUAGGUAAUAGGCUAUAUCUCAAGCUUCAGCCUUAUAGGCAGGUUUCAGUGGCAGUAAAGAAGAAUUUCAAGUUGGCUGCUAGGUACUAUGGUCCUUUUCAAAUUGUUUCUAGGAUAGGGCAAGUGGCUUACAAGCUUUAGUUACCUGAUGUAGCAUCUAUUCACCCUAUUUUUCAUGUUUCCCCUUUAAAAAGGAAAGUGGUUGAGGGUGUAACAAUAGUGCAGACUUUACCAGUUCUGCACAAUGACACUAUUAUAGUUGCUCCUGAAAAAGGGCUAAAGACAAUAGUCAUUUCUAGGGAUUCUCAAAGAUUCUUCAAGGACUCAUCAAGUGGAUCAACCUGCCAGUAGAGGAAGCCACUUGGGAGGAUCAGUCUUUCAUAUUGGCUUAUUUUCUUGAAUUUCAAUCUUCUUGGGACAAGAAAAUGUUAUGAAACUAAGGGGAAUAGGAAUUGUAGAAUGUAUGGGAGGGAAAUAUUGUAUAAAUAGGGUAGCAUUGUAACUAAUUGGGUUAGCCAAAAAUUCAAUCAUACAAGAAUUAUUUCUCUCUAUAAUUCUCUCUUUCUUUCUACUUCUUAUUCCUAUUUCUUCUAUUCUCCUAUCUCCUUUCUUCUUAUUAUCUGAUGCAGAACCCUAACUCAAGGAUUUUGUGAGAAAUUAGGAUCAGAGCUUUCAAGGGGUGGGCACUACUUGCUUCCUUCCUAGUUCAUCUGAGUCGCACCCAUGUCCAGAUUCAUGUUUCUUUCUCUCUAAUUCUUCCUUCUUUUUCCCGAGAUUUCUUUCUUCUUUCCCUCUAUAUUCCUUCUUUUCUUUUCUGCAAACCCUGUUCUUUUCUUUUUCUUCUUUCUUUCUUUUUUGAAAUUCCAAGAAUUAAUAGAA